GGAGUAUUGAAGUAACAAUGUAGCAGAAACGUCAAGCUGCAACCCGGCCAGAGGAACUUCCACUGGGAAGAUAACACUGCAACGAAGAUUUGAAAGAAGCAGGGGUUUCCCAGUUGCUGCAUUGAUAACAAACUGUCAGGUGAAGGCCGAAACAUGAAGAUCAGAUCAGAGUCCACCUCUACAGCUAUCCAAGUAACAGGACACAUGUCUGUACUCCAGCAGCAGGGCAGGACCAUCCGAUGGCAGCCACUCCCAAGGCUGAAACUACCCCACCUCACACCACAGUAGGCAACGUGAGAGAAACGUGUUGUCCCAUCCACGAGUGUCACAGGGCCUUUCACACUGACAAGAAACACCGCGUGCUGCGCCUUCGAUUUGCUUCCAGACGUGGCAUUCCUCGGAGGCGGCUUCCAGACUUCCCCACCGAUGUCCCCAAAGAGAGGGGAAGUGGCUUUUCUCUUCGUUGAGAGGUCUUGAGUAGGUUGGAUCCAGGCGAAUCUGUUUGAAGAAGUUUUAUUCUGGAGAAAUUAACAGGCAGGCCAUGCACAAGAAAAGAGACAAAUUGUUCUUUUGCUCCCAAAUAAAUGGUUGUUUUUGUGACAC